rnacentral:pre_miRNA from 1 species
AGGAGGAACAACCCCAGUGGCUGCGGCAGCUCUGGAAACCUGGAUUCAGCUCCCGCAGUAACUCUCCGUCUGCAGGGCCUGGAGGCUCCGGGGCGGG